AACGAACGCUGGCGGCGUGGAUAAGACAUGCAAGUCGAACGCUGAUUGCGGGGUAGCAAUAUUCCGCAGUCGGAGUGGCGCAAGGGUGCGUAACACGUGGGUAAUUUGCCGGGAAGUUGGGGAUAACUUGCUGAAAGGCAAGCUAAUACCGAAUGUGAAAUCUGGAAGGCAUCUUCCGGUUUUCAAAGUUGGGGACCGUAAGGCCUGACGCUUCCUGAUAAGCCCGCGGCCUAUCAGCUAGUUGGUGAGGUAACGGCUCACCAAGGCUAAGACGGGUAGCUGGUCUGAGAGGACGACCAGCCACACU
rnacentral:rRNA from 1 species